rnacentral:misc_RNA from 1 species
AACGCACCUUGCGCUCCUUGGUAUUCCGAGGAGCAUGUCUGUUUGAGUGUCAUGGUAUCUUCAACCCCUUCCAACGCUGUCAAAGGCUUUGCGGAGAGGUUGGACGUGGAGGACUUUCUUUUGCCGGUCUUUGCUUGACCGGCUCCUCUGAAACACAUCAGCGCGAACACGAGCUGUCUUCAGUGUGAUAACUAUCUACGCUGUGGCCGCAGUUCAGUGGCUCUCGCUUCCAAUCGUCUUCGGACAAGCAUGAAUCGACAUCUGACCUCAAAUCAGACAGGACUACCCGCUGAACUUAA